ensembl:lincRNA
UUUUGGGUUUACAUUAGUAUCCUAAUUUGAUCUUUCGUCUUAUUGAUUGGAAUGCUGUUGACCAAAUUGAUUGUAUUUGUGAUACCACUGCUUGUUAUGAAAUAUUAAUGUUACAGUUUUAAAUUAUUGUCCUCCUUAUUGAUUAUUAUAAUAUUGAAAAUUUGCAUUUUAUUCCAACCCAAUCCAUCCAACAAGCAUUCAAUUUUAUACAUAUCUUAAUCUUUAAAAAUAAAUAAAUAAAUAACAACACAUCAUGUUACUUUCCUUAAAGGAACUAAGUAACACAUUUAUUUACUUUUUAAGUUACUUAAGAUUGCAAUAUAUUACUUUACUUUACUUAACUUUACCCAACAUUUAUCACAUGAAUCUAAUUAUUUCAAAACUGAGAAAUUUGCCAAAAAAAGUGUAUAGUUUCAGUCACUUAAGAACACUUUGUUGUUUAACAUCUCUGUCAUAAAAGAGUUGUCAAUUAUUGUAUUUGUGUACUCUUUCACAGAAGUGCAGCACUGAAAUUUAUACUUGGGUUUCUGUGAGAAAUAAAGCUCACUGUAUUUUUAACUUUGAUGAAAAGAACAUUUGCAGUUUUUAAUUUACUCCAACUAAAUAAAAUGUAAGCAAGUCCUACGCAGACAAUCUACUUAUGUUCCAGUGACAUUAUGAUAGGUAGUUCCAUGAUAUGAUAAGUAGUUCCAUGAUAUGAUAGGACUAUGAUAGUUCCAAUGUUACUUAGUGAAUUAGUAAAAUUCUGAAGUAGUCUAUCAAAUACAAUGUUUAUGAAGCUUAGCUUUGAGGCAAUAAAAAUAAAACUGUGGCUUAGUGUUUAAUGAAUGGUUGCAGCAUCUUCAGGUCUUCUUAACAUAAUAAACCACAAAAUAAAUCCGCAUUGGAUUGCUAAUCAAUGUUCAAAAGAUUAUUGAGAUCAUACCCUAAAUUAUUAUUGGGUAGGCUCUGUGUAGAACCACUUUUGAUACUUCUGCAUACAAAAAGCUUAUUUUGUAGCACCCCAUUCCAAGCAAACUUUAUGCAUCAACAGACAAAGAUUUACCCUCAAAACAUAACCAUUCUCUUAACAUUUUUUUUUUCUCUCUCUCUCUGUGCAGAUCAAGCAAAACCCACACCUGCCAAUUCUGACAGAGGAAAUCCUGACUUUAAAACAGUGGAAGGAAAGCAGGGCGGUUCGAGUUCUGUGGUGAUCGCUGUGGUGGUGUGUGUCCUGCUGCUGCUCAUCCUGGUGGCUUCGCUCUUCUUCCUUAAUAAGAAGGGCAAACUAGGCUGCGGGAAGAAGGACCAGAAGGAAGUGGCUUCUGGAGGAGUGAAAGAUAAUAUUGUGGUGGAGAUUAAGCCCAGUGAGAAAAGCAAGGAAGAGGCUGGUCUGCUAAAGCCUGCAGAACAGGUGAGCGGUCAAAGGAAAAAAGAAAAAAAAAAGAAAAAAAAAGAAAAAAAAUAUAUAUGUAUAUAUAUAUAUAUAUAUAUAUAUAUAUAUAUAUAUAUAUAUAUAUAUAUAUAUUAGGGAUGUAUCAGAAUUUCACGGUACGGUAAUACCUCGGUAUGAAUGGCACGGUACGGUAUUUAUUGAAUCAUUAACAGGAAAAACAAAACUAAUGAAAAUACCCCAAAAAAGUGCCAAAAGUGUUUAUUUACCUUAGCACUGAACAUAUCAAUGACAAACAAAUUAGCCAUCUAUCUGUAAGCUUUGAAACAGGAAGUUCAAUUUUUCAAUUUUAAUAACAAAAAAUUAUUAAACCAUGUAAAAAAAUAAAGUUUCAAUUUAGUAUUGUUGAAAACUCAUCACAUUCAACAAAUAAUCACUCACUCAUUCACUUGAAAAGAGAGGGUUUUAAGGAAAAUUAUAUAACUAUAAUCUGGUAAAAGUGGGUAUCUCUGGGCAUUUACAAUGUCCCCUGCAACAGAAAAAAAAACCCUCUCAUUUGGGACUGAGGUUUCUGGGACAGAUAUGACUUGGCCCAGGUUGACAGCAGUGGGUAACGUUGUGCAUUGUCUUUCCCCCACUUGAGAGGACAAGCCAUGAGUGAGAUAGAGGUCUCUUUGCGGUACAAGUCAAUGUCUGCAUCAAUCUGAACAGUGUGCUGUAUUCUGCAGUCCCCAUGACUGUUAUUAGUCGUAUUCCCCAACUUGCAGGCAAGUACACACAUAGGGCUCAACCUGUGCAGUGCACAUGCCCUUUUUAGUCUUGGAUAGAAAGUGCCCUUUCAAAAUGAUCAAAAGUGCCCCUGCGACGCAACACAACCUCCGUCCCGCCCGACGCGACAACACCGCUAUUCAGUACGCGCGCGGCGUCAACAACAACACCCCCAACCGAAAUGCCUCCACACAUCCGAUUUAAAACACGAUUCAUUUCCAGCUCUUUUUCAUCCCCGCUACAAGCAGCACACUCCAUUUCCGCAUUACUGGAUCUGUAGCGACAACAGACAGCAAAGGAUGAUGGCCACGCCUGGGCUAAUGGGAAUUGUAGUUUCCGCUACCUCCCGUUCACUUCAUUCGCCUG